rnacentral:tRNA from 1 species
GCAGCCAUAGCUCAACUGGAUAGAGCAACGGUCUUCGGAACCGUAGGUUGUAGGUUCGAAUCCUACUGGCUGUA